UGGCCAUUUUCGAUAAGCCAAUUAAUUUUGGUAUUUCAUGUAUGUAUGUAUAUGCCAGGGCUGAGGACUUUAAACUUAAAAAUCUGAAUGCAUCCCUGGGAAUUUUAUCAACAUUCAUUAGCAUUCGUUGCCAAAUUGCUCAACUUUUUAAGUGCUUUGAUUUGCAUUGCAUUGUGAGUGGAAAGUGGACAUGAAUGUGGAUGUGGGGGCAGUAGCGCUGGCUUGGCAACUGCACCCAGUUUUCAAGCGCAUCUGCAUCCGAAGUUGAAAGCUGAUACCGAAUCCUGUGUAAACGACCUUUGAUGUGGGCCUGGUUGGUUGGUUGGUUGGUUGGUUGGCCGUUGGUUUAGUCUCGACUCGUAUUCGCAUUAACGCCAUUAGGCCAAUUUGGCACUUUGCCCUGGCCCCGAAAAGGCGCGCACGGAGAACUUUCACAAACAAAGGUAACAAACGGCGUCAGGAUGUUGCAAUAGCUCUUCUGCUGCGCCACCACCUCGAAAGCCACCCGAGAAGCAGCCAAGAGUCACCCAACUGGCGCGCUCCUCCUGGCCGUUCCACUCCAUGCCACUCACAUGCCAAUGCCCGUGUAAAUAAAAGUCAAGUGAGGAAAACAAAUAAAUUAGAAGCGCAUCCUCCGCUCGUUGGCAACGGGCAUUUCUCUUCGUUAUUGCGCGACUGCCUUUAAUUACGACACCAGGCGGCUGAAAGGAGCUGGAGCUGCUGCUGCAAGGUCCUGCCCAGGGAUUCCCCCACUUUCACCAAUUUCCACUUUCCAGUGCCCCCACGUCUGCCCACUGCCACGUCGUGCUCCGUGCACCGCCGCAGCGCAGCAUCCUCAAUUUAUGUUUAUUUGAAAGCUGUUGCACUUGACUAAUGUCCUCUCCGUCUGUCCUCUCAUCCUGCCACUUAGCGGGAUGCGGCGACAUUCGCAGGCUCUUGGACUUUGGCCAUCUGGUAUUUAAGCCAUCAAAUCCACAUCAUUUUGGCCAGGAGGCUGUUCAGGAUGAGCAAGUGAGUAAGACAAGGACGACUGUACCCCAAACGACUCCAUCAAUAAAGAAAUCGAUCUAUUGAUCCACAAUCCAAGUGGAUCCCUUGCCGUGGACUUCCCGGAAUAAAUUCGAUUGUAAUUGA